AUACGGAGGAUCCGAGCGUUGUUCGGAAUCAUUGGGCGUAAAGGGCGCGCAGGCGGCGAGGCAAGUCCGGUGUGAAAGUGCUCGGCUCAACCGAGUGAUGCGCUGGAAACUGCCCUGCUUGAGCACAGGAGGGGACGUCGGAAUUCCAGGUGUAGGGGUGAAAUCUGUAGAUAUCUGGAAGAACACCGGUGGCGAAGGCGGACGUCUGGCCAUGUACUGACGCUGAGGCGCGAAGGUGCGGGGAGCGAACAGGUUUAGAUACCCUGGUAGUCCGCACAGUAAACGAUGUGCACCAGGUGGCGGGGGGUAGCCCUCGGUACCGAAGCCAACGCAUUAAGUGCACCGCCUGGGGAGUAUGCUCGCAAGGGUGAAACUCAAAGGAAUUGGCGGGG
rnacentral:rRNA from 1 species